AACGAACGCUGGCGGCAUGCCUAACACAUGCAAGUCGAACGAGACCUUCGGGUCUAGUGGCGCACGGGUGCGUAACGCGUGGGAACCUGCCCUUAGGUUCGGAAUAACUCCCCGAAAGGGGUGCUAAUACCGGAUAAUGUCUUCGGACCAAAGAUUUAUCGCCUUUGGAUGGGCCCGCGUUGGAUUAGCUAGUUGGUAGGGUAAAAGCCUACCAAGGCGACGAUCCAUAGCUGGUCUGAGAGGAUGAUCAGCCACACUGGGACUGAGACACGGCCCAGACGCGAACGGGUGAGCGCGGUGGGGGUCAUGGGGGAUGGGGCCAUUGGGUGAUAAAGUAUCGCCGCGUGAGUAACAGAGCGACUAGGGUGGUAAAACGCUCUUGCCCAGACUGAUCGUGAGGGGACGGUGCAAAAGAGCGAAGGCUCACACGACG
rnacentral:rRNA from 1 species